rnacentral:rRNA from 1 species
CCUACGGGAGGCAGCAGUGGGGAAUAUUGCGCAAUGGGCGAAAGCCUGACGCAGCGACGCCGCGUGAGGGAUGAAGGUCUUCGGAUCGUAAACCUCUGUCAGCAGGGAAGAACGGUCCCUGUGCUAAUCAGCAGUGAAUUGACGGUACCUGCAAAGGAAGCACCGGCUAACUACGUGCCAGCAGACGCGGUAAUACGGAGGGUGCGAGCGUUCAUCGGGAUUACUGGUCGUAAAGCGCUCGUCGGCGGUAUGUCAAGUCAAGGGUGAAAUCCCCGCGCUCAACGUGGGAACUGCCUUUGAAACGGGCAAACGGGAGUGGGUGAGAGGAUAGUGGAAUUCCAGGUGUAGGAGUGAAAUCCGUAGAUAUCUGGAGGAACAUCAGUGGCGAAGGCGACUAUCUGGCACAUAACUGACGCUGAGGGGCGAAAGCGUGGGUAGCAAACAGGAUUAGAUACCCCAGUAGUC